AGAAUGACAUUGUUUAACAAAACAAUAUUUUAUUUCAUUUAUUAAAAAAACAUUCUAUGAAACAUUAUUGUAAAUGUUGCAAAAAAUUGUUCUAUAAAAUAAUGUUUAAUUUGUACAGAAAAUAAUGCUGUUUUAACUAUACAAAACAAUGUUUUAAUUGAAAAAAAAAAAAAAAUGGAAGAUAAUAGAAUCUGAACACCAUUUGGUUGCCAUUUCGCCUCCCUUAAGAGGAAGGCUGAUAAUUUUCUGGAUAGAUAACAAAGCAGGUGAGACGUUAAUUGCGACGGAGAAAUAAAUGUUUCUCGCAUUCUCAUGCUUUUUAGAUUGGUGUCUCGGGUUCCCGCGACGCCCGAGAUAACAAUAACGAUAAAUAAUAAUAAACAUACACGCUUGGCAUGGCGCGGCCAGUGUUCGUGCGAGCCUCCGCGCUGCGCAGAUCGCGGAUAUUCGCCGCGGUGCUUCAUGACGAGCGAAUUCCGAUCGCGAGAGUCGGCGUUCCGAUCAUUAUAGAAAAGUGAAAAAAAAACUCCGGGGGAAAAAAAGCAACGUUUAGAUGGCGUCGAUAUUAAACUGAUGUGAAAUUGUGUAUGUGCGAAACUGGAUUUGCGGGGAAUUCCUCCCCCCUCCCCUCCUCUCCCCUCCCCCUCCUUUUUUGCGGCAUCGCCGAUUUAUGGCUUAUUUGUGACUAAUGUAUUGUAAUCUCGUGGGGUUCAAAACGCACACCAUACACAUUUUUCCAUCGUUACGUAACGCCUUAGAGACGUCGAUUUACCGGAAUCAUUAUUUUAUUGUGUAACCAUCACGCUAAAUUAUACACACAGAGUGUCCGGUUUUUUUUUUUUUUUCUUUUAUCGAAUGGCAAUUACUUUACGUUUUUACAACGUAGAACGAAAGUUUUCAACGUUUACGUUCACUUUCCAGCGCUUUAUUCGUA